GACGAACGCUGGCGGCGUGCCUAAUACAUGCAAGUCGAACGCUUCUUUCCUCCCGAGUGCUUGCACUCAAUUGGAAAGAGGAGUGGCGGACGGGUGAGUAACACGUGGGUAACCUACCCAUCAGAGGGGGAUAACACUUGGAAACAGGUGCUAAUACCGCAUAACAGUUUAUGCCGCUUGGCAUAAGAGUGAAAGGCGCUUUCGGGUGUCGCUGAUGGAUGGACCCGCGGUGCAUUAGCUAGUUGGUGAGGUAACGGCUCACCAAGGCCACGAUGCAUAGCCGACCUGAGAGGGUGAUCGGCCACACUGGGACUGAGACACGGCCCAGACUCCUAAGGGAGGCAGCAGUAGGGAAUCUUCGGCAAUGGACGAAAGUCUGACCGAGCAACGCCGCGUGAGUGAAGAAGGUUUUCGGAUCGUAAAACUCUGUUGUUAGAGAAGAACAAGGACGUUAGUAACUGAACGUCCCCUGACGGUAUCUAACCAGAAAGCCACGGCUAACUACGUG
rnacentral:rRNA from 1 species